AUGAAGCUCCUAUGUUGGAACAUCAGGGGCUUCGGCCUCACUGGCCGGAGGCGUCAGCUCAUCGAGUAUUUGCACCAGGAGGAGAUUGACAUUGUGGGCUUGCAAGAGACGAUUCGCCAAGACUUUAGUAUGCAUGAGCUCCAGGGGCUGUCCCGCCACCAGUUUGCCUGGAAGUGGUUGCCAUCUACGGGGCAGUCUGGCGGCAUUUUCCUUGGAGUUCGGGAGGAUGUUUUCUCGGUUGAGGAUAUGGACCGAGGGGAAUUCUUCCUGAGCAUGUCCGUUACUGACCGACGAGUCCACUUCAGCUGGGAGGUGAUUUUCGUCUAUGGUCCUCCGGAUCAUGCUCGCUCUGCUGGCUUCCUCGCCGAGCCUAAAAAUAAGGUGGAGAGGUGCACCACGCCGUGGUGGUGGCCGGUGACUUCAACCUCAUUAGCUGGGCUUCUAAUAAAAGCUCACCUAAUGUUGAUCGGGUUCGCAUGCGUCUAUUUAACGACUGCAUUGCGGACCUUGCGCUCCAUGAGAUAG
rnacentral:rRNA from 1 species